UUGUUUCCCAAAGCACAGUUUACCUGAACACAAUCUUAGAUCAAAAAUUAAUUCAUCUUGAAAAUAUAAUUCUUUUUACGAUUCCUACAAGGUAUCUGACACUUAGUUUGGCCUCAUUCCAGUUACAAUGGACUGUUUUGGAACGUGCAUCUGUGAUCUUUAGCCAGUCCAAAUUGUUAAUCUUAAGAUAUUAGAUGAAGUUGCUGUUACGGCAUUUGAAAUCGCAUCGAAAGUAGACCAAGAAAAUAAAUCCCGGGCUGGCAGAGAAGAUAUAAAAUUCCGCCUACCAUGUUUAAGGAAAGGAUGAAAGAAAAAUAGGGAUAUUGGCCUUAUCGAGAUCUUUGCUUGUUCCGACGACCCAUUCUGUUGUUUUUUAUGGUUAUAAACAAAGUGGAACACCUUUUCAGUCCCUUCCGCUUUCUCUGUAAUCACUAGAAAUUAAAGUUUUCCAAUAUGGCUUUGGGUUCAAAUCGAGUAGUUAGAGUCAAAGAGGAGAUACUCUCUGAUGGUCAUAAUGUCCAUUAUAAGAUGAUUUUGAGUAAUCUUGCUUCUUUACGAGUGUGGCCUUUUGAAAAGAAUUACUGCACCAGUUGCCAAACAUUACCGACUGCUUGGAAGUAUGAGAUGCGUUUGCAUGAAAUGGCAUUGGACGGUAGUAUCACCUUUUCGUUUUACUUAAAGAGAUGUGAUACCAUCAAUGCCCCGUUAUUCAGGACACUGCUUUGGAUGUCAAUCACAGAUACCAAUGGCACUCCUAUUUAUCCUCCAACAGUUUUUCAGAAAAACAGUAUAAAUCCUGGAGAAGAGGUACUGGAAAUAGUUAAAACGAGUGCUCCUUUAUUCGAUUUCGGAACUUUUCUUAACCAAGAAGUUGUCCUUACAGUCUCCAUCAUGGUUCGCCUCUGCCAUGUACAGCGUUAAAUGGACUCAUCAAUAAGCUUCGAAGCAACGCAAGACUUUUAUGGAAAAUGUCAAACCAUUUUGAAAAUUGAUCAGAAGACGAUGUUGAUAUCUGAUCCAGGUACCCCACUCCAAACUUCUACAUCAAGCCAACGAAGAGAUCGUUUGAAUCUUGGCACCACAUUUAACAUUCCAUAGUCGCAGAUACAGGGUUACAGUUUAGAGAAAUCGGAUUUUGCACAUGGAAAUCAGAAGCUGAGACCUUACGAUUAAACUAAAGUGAUCUGUUUAUUCUUAUACACUAAAGCAUGUAGAAAUGCGUAGCACCGAAAUUUAUAUGCUGUCAAAA